rnacentral:lncRNA from 1 species
ACAAAUUGCACUGGCCAGCUUCCUGCUCCUGGGAGCGGGGUCCAUGGCUGAGCUUCUGCUCCCCGGAAGAGCUCCAGACUCCUCAAGGGUGUGAGAUUUUUCAAACCAAUUCCAAAUAAGCCAGGGGAGGUUUUCCUGUCUUGGUUUCCAUCAUCACCACCUCCACAGUUGGAGAUUCCCUCCUAAUCCAGAUGCUUGAACCAGGACUAGGACUUCAUAUAUCACUGGGACACUUAGCAUAAUCCCCAUUGCAGGUUGCCAGACAUCACCCAAAGUGAUGUUCUACCAAAGACGGAAACAGCAGCUCUCCCAUGACCUUCCAGGUGCUGCCCUGACUCCUCCAGCUGAACCUGCUAGGGCAGACGAAAGUGGAACAUGCAGCAUAUUUCCCUGCCACUCUGUCCAUGUGCCCACCAACUCGGCUGCAGGCUCCAGGGACACCAGCUGGGGGGGCCUGCCUGGGGCUCAGAGCUGAGCAAGGUUACAGGGCAGAUAGGUUGGCCUGGAUCAACCUGACCACCCUCAACUGGAGUGGUGACUUCUUCACUGUCUGACACUAAACCAGGAACCAAGUGGAUCUCUCUGAGUGCAGGGUGGGUGACCUUAACCAGUGGAGGCAUUUCUCUUCUUACAGACCUCGUAUUUUUCUUUACUAGGUUCUGUGCUCCUCUCAAGGGUCCUAAGUGUUCCUCCAACCUGAGUGUUCUGCAGGGAAACAUGCUGUGUAAACACCAUGCCUAUUUCCUGCUUGGAGCACAGGUUUUGUAGUAGAGCUCUCAGGGGUGUGGAAGAAGCCUGGCAGCCCACACCCUAUAAAUGCUGUUGUCCACCUGUAUGCUCUGACUUGGAGGCAGAGACCCAAGCAGCUGGAGGCUCUGUGUGUGGGUCCAUCUCUACCAGGGGCUCAGCAGGGCCUAAGCCGGGGAGUGGGAGAACAGACCCCAAGGAGAAGGAAGACCUAAUUACUGACUGUGAGAGGGUCAUCACCCCCCUGAUCAUCACCUUGAGGGGCCUAGGCUGUGUUCAUCUUUUUUUCAUUCUCAGGUCGUUGAUUUCUUAGAGCCUGAAAAGAAGGUAACUGAGCGUAUGAGGGACAGAUGGAGUGAGUCAGUGAGUGAGUGACCUCAUCCUUGCUCCUAAUAGACUGGGAGGGACAGGGCAGCUUUUCUGCAGAGCACGGAAGUCAGAGAGGUGAAGCCAGUUUCCCAGAGUAACAGUGAGGCACUGACAGAAAGGAGACUACAGUGGAGUCCAGGUCCCCGGGCUCCCCAGAGCUCUUUACUCUUCCUCCUCCACAGCAGCCUGGAGACCCCACACCUCCAGCCGGAGGCCUGAAGCGGGAGACCACGCCAGCUGCCAGAUGAUGCUGGGAAUUUUCCGCAGGUGCCCGAGGUCUUCCCGGCACUCUGGUCUCACCUGCCCUGCCUCUCGAGCUCGCCCAGCUUCCUGAGUCCUGACAGAGCACAGUCGCGGGGGAUGUUGGCAGAGGCAGCAGAUGUUUCACA